rnacentral:snRNA from 1 species
GUGCUUGCUUCGGCAGCACAUAUACUAAAAGCAAAAUGAUACAGAGAAGAUUAGCAUGCCCCCUGAGCAAGGAUGACUCGUAAAUUCGUGAAGCGUUCCAUAUUUAA